ensembl:lncRNA
GGCUCCCCUCGGCGGGACUGAAUGAUCAAAACUGGUGGUGAGAAUUUUUCCGGACCGUUUCUAGGUAGCCCUCCCCCUCCACCAGCUCGGGGGCCCCCCCUUCCUCGGCCCCCCCCUCCAGCGUCUGGGCUGAGUGAUCAAAAUAGAGGAAGAUGGUUGUCGCCGCAAUCCAGGGCUUUGCAAGGCGCAGUUUAAUGGGCCGCCUGUCAGCUUCCCGCUCGCUAAAGGAGGUGACAAGCCUGCCGAGCCGGGAAGGGCCUGGGGCUCAGUGGGCUGCACCCUGCGCCCGCGCCCCUGCCCGCCACCUCCCCUAGGGUGAGCCUCCAGAACGCAGGGGGGAGACGCCAAAAUAGACAAGGGCUGCUUUUUUCUUUUUCAUUUUUUUCUUCCUUUUAAAACAAAGCGGCGAUUCAUUCCCUCUCCCCCAGCAGCGCCUUCGGGUGGGAUGGGCAGGCGAGAAGGCCGUUUUCCUCUCCCGGCCUCGGGUCCCUCCCUGAAAUGCGGCGUCAGAUGGUUACUGAUUAAUAUUUUGGAGAGGCCUUGGCAGCGGGCAGCGGGCAGCGGGUGAGUCUAAUCUUCUAAAAGGGGUUCCUAUAGAAACGCGGCCCCAGGGCGCCCCCACCUUCGUUCCGGCCGGGGCUGCGGCGCUUCGCACAGCGCGCCCCUCCCCAAAGCCCUCUUGGCGUGGGCGCCCCUCUCUUCCCCCCUCCCCCCAAAAAAAUCAGAGCAGAAAAAAGGAUUAGAUCGGCUGAGCGCGAGCUGAAUCCCUCUCGAUUCUGACAUUUCAGCCUAUUAGCAUUUCUCCAUGGGGCUUUCUGAAACCUAUUAAAGUGUAAUAUUAAAAACCUCGUGGCUGGGGACCUCUCUCGCCUUCCAUCCGCCGCGCCCCCUCCAGGGAGGGCGAGACCGGGAAAAAAAAAAUGUUGAGCUCAGAGGAAGCAGCAGCCAAACCCAAAAGUGCUUGGCUGGUACGGCAGCCGGAGGGGGAGGGGAGCCGCAAUCCCCAGACUUUGUACUUUUGUUUUGCGCUUUCAGCAAAAUCCGUUCUGGGUUGAGUCGCCAGGAGCUGCCCGCGGCAGACCUACCUGUUUAGGGGCGCUGGAAAUGCGAACCCCGCCGGAGGGACAGUCGCAGGAGCCCCGCAGCCCCACAGGCUCCAGAACCCUGUUGGGCAUUACCUACCCUCGAAGGCAAGCUUUGGAAGGACAGAAAUCCUUGUCGAUCCUGCCUCAGAGAGCAACCCUGGUGACAGGUUUUUAAUUAAGAGAAGCCUGCUCUACCCCCCUGUGCUGUAGAAUCAGCGUUUUCGCAUUUCUAUUUUUUUUAAAUCCAUUUUUUAAGGCAACUUUUCUGGUGAAAAAAAGAGCUAGUUAGCGCCCCAUUCGUUCUAUUUUCUUUUCUCUACUUUUAGAAAAAAAAGAGGGGGAAGGGUUCGAAAGCGAACUGGGGGUGUCUAAUUUAAUUCCUGGAUAAAUUUGAGGAAAAAACUUCAGCCUCUUGAGGGCAGUUUCAAGUUGCCCUUCCUGGAGUCUCCUGCGUGGGUUUCUAGGCUGCCCUCUUUGGGAAGCUGGAGCUCGGCGGGGGGAGGAGGGAGGAGAGAGGAGAAAGGAACGAAAAUAGCCGGAGCCGAGGGGACCGUGAGCGGUGACCGCGCUUGGAGCUGGGCGCACGGGUCUCGGUGGCGGCCAGGGCGGCGGAGGCACCCGGUGCAACCCCGGACGGCCAGGAGCAAAGCCGGAGAAGAGAGGGGGGUUAGAGAAAGAAGUCCACGAGACCUCGCUACCUUGAAAGGCACGGGAGGAGUUGAAUGUGGUUUUCUCCCUCCAAGCCAGCUCUCGUCCCUGGAGACCACAUCCCCCGAGAGGAUUUGAAAGAACCUGAG